rnacentral:rRNA from 1 species
UACGUAGGGCGCAAGCGUUGUCCGGAAUUAUUGGGCGUAAAGAGCUCGUAGGCGGCUUGUCACGUCGGGUGUGAAAGCCCGGGGCUUAACCCCGGGUCUGCAUUCGAUACGGGCUGGCUAGAGUGUGGUAGGGGAGAUCGGAAUUCCUGGUGUAGCGGUGAAAUGCGCAGAUAUCAGGAGGAACACCGGUGGCGAAGGCGGAUCUCUGGGCCUGUACUGACGCUGAGGAGCGAAAGCGUGGGGAGCGAACAGG